rnacentral:rRNA from 1 species
CGGACUGGUGAGUAACGCGUGAGGAACCUGCCUUUCAGAGGGGGACAACAGUUGGAAACGACUGCUAAUACCGCAUGACGCAUUUUGAUCGCAUGGUCGAAAUGCCAAAGAUUUAUCGCUGAAAGAUGGCCUCGCGUCUGAUUAGCUAGUUGGUGAGGUAACGGCCCACCAAGGCGACGAUCAGUAGCCGGACUGAGAGGUUGACCGGCCACAUUGGGACUGAGAUACGGCCCAGACUCCUACGGGAGGCAGCAGUGGGGAAUAUUGGGCAAUGGGCGCAAGCCUGACCCAGCAACGCCGCGUGAAGGAAGAAGGCUUUCGGGUUGUAAACUUCUUUUAAGUGGGAAGAGUAGAAGACGGUACCACUUGAAUAAGCCACGGCUAACUACGUGCCAGCAGCCGCGGUAAUACGUAGGUGGCAAGCGCUGUCCGGAUUUACUGGGUGUAAAGGGCGUGCAGCCGGGCAUGCAAGUCAGAUGUGAAAUCUCAGGG